GUUCCAGUAGCUCAGUUGGACAGAGCGUGCGGUUCCGGACCGCAAGGCCGGGAGUUCGAGCCUCUCCUGGAACACCA
rnacentral:tRNA from 1 species